CUCUUAGAUGUUCUGGGCCGCACGCGCGCUACACUGAUGCAUUCAACAAGCCUAGCCUUGACCGAGAGGUCCGGGUAAUCUUUGAAACUGCAUCGUGAUGGGGCUAGAUUAUUGCAAUUAUUAAUCUUCAACGAGGAAUGCCUAGUAAGCGUGAUUCAUCAAAUCGCGUUGAUUACGUCCCUGCCCUUUGUACACACCGCCCGUCGCUCCUACCGAUUGAAUGUGUUGGUGAGGAGCUCGGAUUGGCAGCAGUUGGUGGUUCGCCACCGGCUAUUGCUGAGAAGUCCUCCAAACCGCCCCAUUUAGAGGAAGGAGAAGUCGUAACA
rnacentral:rRNA from 1 species